GUUUCCAUAGCUCAGUUGGUUAGAGCGCAAUCCUGAUAAGAUUGAGGUCGAAUGUUCAAUUCAUUCUGGAAACACCA
rnacentral:tRNA from 1 species